AGGCAAUAUGAUGGUGAUACCCACCCUACUUGCUCUGCCUGUCCUCACCUAAGCUCCACCAGUCGUAUUGCUUCAUUGAUUACCCCCUCCUUCCUCGAGAACCGUUCGUCAUUACAAGAUGGUUCAGUCCUAGUUGACAUUCCACUAUAUGAAAAGACCAGAUCGCCACGUUAUAUUCUUAUUCCUUGGUUAAGAGAGAGAGAGAACCGGAACAGCGACCUCGUGAAUCAUCCUAUUUAAUCGCUUCACCCUCGCCACAUUCGCUACUACUUCAAUUAUUGGGGUAAAUGGACAUUAAGACUAAGUUAUGAGAUAUGAGAGUUAAAUUAAUAUUGUAAUCCUAUUUAACCCAAUUAUUUUACA